rnacentral:rRNA from 1 species
AACGAACGCUGGCGGCAUGCCUAACACAUGCAAGUCGAACGAGACCUCCGGGUCUAGUGGCGCACGGGUGCGUAACGCGGGGGAACCUGCCCGUAGGUUCGGAAUAACUCCCCGAAAGGGGUGCUAAUACAGGAGAAUGUCUUCGGACCAAAGAUUUAUCGCCUUUGGAUGGGCCCGCGUUGGCUUAGCUGGUUGGUAGGGUAAAAGCCUACCAAGGCGACGAUCCAUAGCUGGUCUGAGAGGAUGAUCAGCCACACUGGGACUGAGGCACGGCCCAGACUCCUACGGGAGGCAGCAGUGGGUAAUAUUGGACAAUGGGCGAAAGCCUGAUCCCGCACUGCCGCGUGAGUGAUGAAGGCCUUAGGGUUGUAAAGCUCUUUUACCCGGGAUGAUAAUGACAGUACCGGGAGAAUAAGCACCGGCUAACUACGUG